rfam:Mesorhizobium australicum strain B5P genome assembly, contig: Ga0048943_14
CGUCUAUGCCCUCCUUGGGCGUUUCCUCCCUAGACUUGGACCGCGUCGUGCGAACGAUGCGGUCUUUUUUUCGGUCCGG